rnacentral:lncRNA from 1 species
UUCCUUUCAAACUCUCGCUAAACUUUCCCUCUCUCUAAAAUUUUAUUUUUUUUUAUUUUUUUUUAUUUUUUUUCACCCAUUAUAAUAAGGUCCUCCCUGUUUUAAGUGUUUUAACUCCCGAUCACUGAUACCCUUUCUGAUUGAUCUGGAGCCCCAUAACGCAUGUCAAGGCUCUACCCGACUAAGUUCGUUAGGGUUCUGUCUCGUGACAUAGGGAUAAGGUUGAAUUAGGGUUACUAUACUUAACAGGAGUGCAAAUAUAUAUAUUUAUUAAAUAGCUCUGGAGUUAUACCCAAGAUUAUACCAGUAUGUGGGGGUUUACAGUAGAUUGGAACAAGAGUGGCGAGACGGCACCGAAAGGCUUAAAGAAGUGGCUUAUUUUAUCAAAUAAAUUAAAUUAAAUUAAACGUUGUUUAACGUAUUCGGGUAUAUCUCAUAUUAAAGCUACCUUUCAAAACAUGAUUUUAUCCCAACUAUUUAAUAAAUAAAAUCCGGUGUUUUCUAAACUCUGAUAUUUUUACUAACUCACGGUCCUGAUGAAAAUUUCCGCUGCCAAAUUAAUAAACACCGAUACCAUCUGACUGGCUCGCGGCUCCCGCUCCCAGGGGAGGGGUCAGGGGCUGUGACAAAAGGUGGUAUCAGAGCCACUGGUUUAAGCCAUUUAGGUGUUCUUUUAAAAGCCUAAAACUUAAACUUUAUGUUAGGAAAUUAAUAUUGUGUUAUUCUGGGUAGAUAAAUAUUAAUGUUCAUAUUAUAAUAAUUAUGUUUUCAGUCCACAGUAUGAGUAACCAAUAUGAUUAAAUGUAACUAUAGGCUACCCAGGAAAACAUAUUAUAUUUCUAGCACGUGCCUUAUAUUUUAACUAGGCAGACAAUUUUCUAGUUAGACUUACACUUUAUGGUCUAUAGUUUUAUAGCAUAGGUUUAUAUUAACGAAAGUUUAUAUAUUAUAAAACACAGCCCUAUAUUAAUUCCAUAAAUUCCAUAAGAUUAAAUAAAAAUGAGGAUUUCUAGAAAUUAAAUCACA